AAAAUAGAUUGCGCUCUGCACAGUUCAAUGGAUUCUGUUGACACUAUGUUGCAGCAGGCCUAUUCAGUGGUGCCUGCAUAACACUGAAGCAAAAUACCUGCUGUCCUGCUCAGAUCUUUGCAUAGGAAGAUGGGUCUAUGGGGAUUAUAGAGAAUGGCAUCAGCCAUACCAUCCCUGCAGUAGUCAUAGGGGAUUUUAUCUGAUUGAAUGCCCAUGGCAGAGUCAUGGAGGCGGGAGCAGGGAUUAUGGAGGGCUUAGAGCUUACAGCACUUCGCAUUUACCAGGGACCGUCAUUCUCUGUCCGCUCCCUCGGUAACGCAGGGAGCAUAACUUUAGACAUUCCUCAGCUGGCAGGCUGACAAUGAGCAACAUCCGACUGCUGGUGGUCAAGUGGGGUGUGGGGGUUCUGGAUCAACUUCAGGCUGCCUUUUCAAGAGCUGAGGCACCAUGAAGGACCCAUGUCGUGUGUGUGGAGUUCGCUUGGUGGGAAGCCAAUGCCGUUGGAUCUUUAGCGCCACAGGACAGAGGCAGCUCCAGGUCAUUCUGUCCCAUGUGCUGGGCUUGGGAGUGACUCGAGGAGAUGGUCGUGGAGAGUUCCUGUGUGGGAAGUGCGUGUUCCAGCUGGAGAAGGUUAUUCACUGCGACAUCGCCAUCAACCGGCUCCAGGAAGAACAUGGUGCUCAGGUGCAGAAGCUCCAGGCAGAAAAGGAAAAUGUAAUCCAGUGCCUUAACCACAUCUACAGUAAGAACAAUUCAUCCCAUGCUAAAGGUGAUGGGGAAGGUCCCAGGUCCAAGACUCCCGUUAGAUCCUCUGGAUGUGGCAGUCCCAUUGAAGAUGAUGAGGUGGUGGGUCAGCUCGCGUCCGAGUCUCGGCCCCACAGAGAUGCAGAUGUGGGUCAGGUGAAAAAUCGGAUGAGAAGGUGCGUGAGUCUGGAUAGACUCGGAGGCAAAGCGGCUACGCCAGCCCGCUCGGGCCUCAGAAGGCCCCCGCUCAGGCCCGGAUCCGGAUCGAUGGUGGAAUGUUCUGCCGGUGGUCUCCAAGCUGCACGCCACCGUUCCCAGAGCAUGUAUCUGGACCUGGUCAACCGUAAGGGCUCCCUUCCUAGCCCUGGAUUCAAAAGUCGCUCAACGUCCCUGCAGUCCCUCAAUCAAGACUUUGCCUCCAAAACCUUUACAGACCCUCAGCCGAAGCGACACCUCAGAGAGCCCAUACCCAAAAAAAAACUUACCAACGGGUCCAAAGCAAAGGACCAGGCUAGAACCCGGCACCGUAGCCCCACGGUUCAGCCGUCCCUGAUCUCUGACCUCGUCCAGUUGUUGCAUUGCAUCUCCAGACGGCCAAUCCUUGCCCCGCCAGACAGCCGCAUCCCUUUGCUGCAGAAGACACAUAGCGGUCAUACACCUCCAAACCUCCUCAGGACCAAACGAAGAAGCAGGGAGGCACAGUGGAAGUCUCUGCAUGACCUUACAGAGGAAUUUAAUGAUGAAUACACUCCCGUGACUGAAAAGGGAUUUGCAAAGAGAGAGCAUGAUGUCAGCCAGUUGGAGUCCACCAAUAAGCUGCUGAAUAAUGAGCUUACUCAGAUCAAAAGCAGCAAUGAGCACUUGACCAAAACACUGGCAGAGGCCCAGAAUCAAAGCAAGGCACUUUCUGGAAAGUUGGAUGAGAAGGAGAAUGAUCUUUGCUCUGAGAGGAAAAACUCUCUGAAACGAGAUAAAACCAUCCAGGGUCUCUCUCAAGUCCUCAAAGAAAAAGAAAAGGAGAUCUUGGAGUUGUGUCAUGAGAUUGAGGACCGGGAUGAGGCUUUGGCAAAGGCACGAGAGACUGCACACAAAGCACAACUUCAAAAAUACCAGGGUGCAGAGGAGCACCAGAGUCUGCUAAUGGAGAAGCAGGCUGAGCUUGCUCACCUUCAAGGAGAGCACCACACCAAGGUGCUGGAAGCCCAAAAACUGCAGCGUGCCCUGGCCAGAAGGGAGCAGGAGCUGGCAGACAUGCAACAGGCCAAGGAGCAACUGGAGUUUGAGCUGGAGGACUUCCAACAGCAGAAGAAGAAAGGAGAUAAAGCUCUGAAUGACUUGCAGAACCAGCUGAAGAAGCUGAGUGGGGAGAUCGGGGACAGAGAGAGCGCUCUGGAGCAACACUACCAGGCUCUUCUGGAUGAGACCACCAGAAAGCUGCAGGUCCAUGAGGUCUCCAUUCAGCGCCUCACCUCCACUCUGGCAGACAAGGAGCAGCAGCUGCAGGAGUAUUUGAACAUGGUGAGAGAUUUUGAGCAGAGCAGAAGCCCCGGAGGAAGUGACGUCAUGCUUUCCAAGCUUCGAGACCGACUCAAAGAGAAGGAGAAGGCUCUUGAGAAGGCAUUGGACGAGAAGUUUGCAGCCAUUGAAGAGAAAGACAAUGAAAUACACCAACUGCAGUUGGCUUUAAGAGAAAAGGAGCGAGAUCUCGAGAGACUCAACAACUUGCUGACUCACAACAAUGAAACCAUUAAUAGUUUUGACAGUGUGAUCAAGGAGAAGGAUGUGGAGCUGCAGCACCUGGCCAACACACUGAACAACCUGCAGAGAGCCAAGCAGGACCUGGAGGACAACCUGAACAGAGCUCUGAGGGAGAAAGACUCCAUCAUCAGCCAGCUGCAGCUCUCGCUGCAGGGCAAGACCAACGACAUGGAGGAAAUGGCCCAAGCAAUGCUCAGCCAGUCCCAAAGUCAGGCCCACGACCUUGCAGAGAAAAUGGGCCAGAGGUUAAAGGUGACGGAGGCCAUGUUGGCAGAGGCCACUAAGGCCAGGGAGAACCUGGUGACGGACAAUGAGUCCGCAGUGGAAGGCUUGUUGGCCACCAUCGGCAGCAAGGACAAACUGUUGAAGGAGUCCUCUGAGCACUACAACCGCAUGCUGUCUGAGUACACACGGGAGAUCCAGGAGCUGAAGAGACAGCUGGUGGACGGGCAGCAGCAGCUCCGCGCCGCUGAGAAGCACCGCUCCACCGCCACCCAGGACGGCCACCUGGAGGCUGCUGAGCUCAAGCUGCUGUUGGUAGAGAAGGACAGCCUGAUCAAAGAGCUGAUGGAGCGCGGUCAGAACACAGAUUGGUUCCUGGCUGAGCCAAGGAUCAAGGAGGAGUCGGAUCAUGUGUUGGAACUCAAACACACUGUACAAAUCCUGAAGGAAAGGCUGAUCGAAAGGGAAGCCGAGCUAACCAAGAUGAAUGGUGAAGGACAUAUAGAGAACAUCACGGUCACCAGGAGGACCAUGGUCAUCCUGAAGAAGGAGCUGGCACAGCAAACGGAGGCACUGAACAAGGCCUUGAAGAGGGAGAAUGGACUGAAGAUUUCCCUGGCAGAGCUCCAGUCGACGUUGGCUGAGCUGGAGGCCCUCGUUCAGGGCCACCAAGCGAACGCAGAGUCCCUCACCAGCACUCUGGAGACCAAGGAUCAGAUCAUCGCCGAGCUCCACCAGCGUCUGGGUCAGCGUGGGGACAGACAGACAGGCAACGGCCAGGAACAUGGCUCUGCUACGGACACCGGUGCGGAGAGGUCGACGUCUAGCCUGCCUCAGAGGGAGAGGACCAUCAUUGGAGGAGACAGCCAGCAAAAGGAUUUGCCCAGCUUGUCCUCUGUACACGAUGAGCACGCGGCCCUGACCCGGGCCCUGAAGACGGAGCAGCAGCUCUUCUCCAGCCUCAUCCGAACCGUCAAGGAGCAGGACAGCUCCCAGCGUCUGCAUGCGCUGCAGCUGGAGCUGACCGCUGUGCAGCUCCUCAGGCAGCAGCUGGAGGAGGGCAUCCGGACCAACGAGGGGCUGAGGGACCAGCUGGAGGGAGAGCUGCUCCAGGCUCAGCUGAGAGAAGGUGUUGAUCCCCAGGAGCUGCAGAGCAUGAGGCACCAGCUGGAGGACGCCCAGCGCUGGAACGCCUCCCUGCAGGCCCGCCUCGGAGCCAUCCAGAACCGGGCCGCCGGGGUGGGCGGAGCCAAUGACACCGGGGACAGCUUGACCUUCCUCGGGGACCAGACCUCCUACAUGAGCAUCUGUGUUGGAGACAGACUGGAGGAGAGUCUGUCUCAGCUCUCUGCAUCGGAGCUCAGACAGAAGGUGGUGGUCCUGCAGGAGUGUGUGAGUGGCCUGCAGAGUGUUAACAUAGACCUGCAGCAGAAGGCCUUGCUGCUGGAGAGGAAAGAAGACAAGGAGAACCUCAGCCACGGCAACACUAGCCCAAGGACUCAGCUGCUAGCGGCGGGCCGGGCCGGCCAACGACGGGGCGGCGACGGGACCCUGCGCCCCGGUCCAGGUCAACGGAGCCCAAUGGAGGUCCUGCCGCCGCAGACGGGGUCCCAAAGCCAUUGUGACCAUGACGACAGAAGCUCGUUCAGCACGGGAGAGCAUCAGAUCAGGUCCGGCGACGAGCCUUUGGAGCAGCAGGAACACAGAAUGGAAGAGAUGGUGCUCCAGGGAACCACCUCACAACUCAGGGAUGAGCUCCUGCGACUUGGAUCAGAGAACAAAGAACUGCGCUGUCUCCUCCGCGAGGAGGUGUUGAAGGAGUCUGAAUGGAAGGCCAGAUCAGAGGACGUGUGCGAUGGACCAGCAGGCCUCCAUCAGACCGUACUGAGACUGAGAGACGAGGCCACGGGUCACCUCAAAGUCAUCGGCUCGUUGAAGGAGCAGCUGGAGAGGAAAGCUGUGGAGGUGUCUGAUUGGGAGAGGAGAAACGGCACCCUGGAGGGUCCACCGAGCACCCAGCUGUUAAACCACACGCCUGCCAGGCAGCGCCUCUCACAUAAGGCUGGUGUCAGAUCUCGCCUCCCUGUGCCAGUGAGACUGAUAUCAGAACCAGGCAGCACCUUCUGGGUGGCCAACCAACCCCACACUUUGCACCAACACACCGACACCGUUGAGCCUCUGCGAGAUAUACACCUGAAUCACAUCUCUGAGUCGGACCAGCUCCUGUCCGAGGGCUUGGAGUACCCCCUGUCCCUAGAGCGCAGCACCACUCCCGGGUCCAACUUCGACGAGUACAUCCAUCGUAGCAGCUGCAGCCAAACAGUCUCCGAUGAUAACCCAGAGGACGGAGAGGCCCUCCUGGAUGAUGCCCGGGCUGACUCCUGCGCCUUGCUGGCCCAGCUGGAGCUGCUCCACCAGGAGUGCCAGGAGAAGGAGAGCCUCAUUGAUGGGCUGGAAGACAAGCUGGCCGAGUGGGAGGAGAUCCACACCCAGCUGCAUGAGAAGGACUGCCUGAACCGCCAGUACGCCGAGGCCCUGCAGGCUGCUGAAUCCACCAUCGCUUAUCUCACCGCUUGCAACCUGGACAGCCACAGCGGCCUCGGCCUGGGCCAGCUCGAGCGCUCUUGUGCCGUCUCGGCGGGCUCAGAUGGCAGCGCCCUGCAGAAGGAAAUCGUGGAGCUCAACAAGACCCUGCAAGAGAAGGAAAGGCUCAACGCCCACCUGGUGGAGUUCCUCAACAUGACCGGCAGGGACAUUGCCACAAUACAAGCAUCUUUGACCUCUCCCACAGCCGCAGCCUCUCUGGAGCUGUGUUCCAGGUUGGUGAGCGCCCUGCAGCAGAUGAACGCAUCUCUAGCGGCUCACAACCCAAGAGGCACUGUCGAUGUGCCCUGGGGUUCUGACCGCGGUCAGGAGCAAAGUAUGGACCGGCUUCAACAAGGGAGCUGGGAACUGAACCGACUGGAUACCGAGUGUGAAGUAGGAACUCCUUCUGAGGCCAGCGGUGUACUUCCUGUUCUCAACCACACUGGCACUCAGCACAAGGACUACUUGAUUAGGCAAAUUGCAGGAGAGUCUGUGAACAAAGGCAGGUCCAGAGAUGUAGAAGGCACAUCGGGCUGCUCUGAAGGCAGUUUAACGAACGGAGAGAUCACCAAGUGUCUGUCAGACUGUCUGGCUGCAGCAGAGUCAGCCAUCGCCUCUCUGGCAGCACACUGCACCAACACUCAGAGCUUGUCUUCUGGAACAUCAGCCCAGAUCAGUCCUGACCUUCAACACCACCUGCAAAGGCUUCAGAUCUCUCUGCAGGAGCUGGGGGAUCUGGAGGACCAAGGCCAGGUGGAGGCGGCCAAGAAACCCUCCUAUAGGCACGGCUCUGCUGCUUCUGCUGGCAGGAAGUCACAACCUUCUUCCCAGGAGCUCCAUCGCAAUAUCCACCUCCUGUACCAGGCAUUCUGCGAGCACUCCCAGAGGAUCUCUAACCUUCAGGCCAGCCUGCAGGAAGAGAGGAGGCUCCGAGGGGAGAAUCAGACCCAAGCACCAACAGUGGAUGGCCUGAGUUCAGAAGGAAUUCCAGGCAAUGUUCAGGCCCAGCUUGAGGGUCUUCAGAAGGCUCUGAAGGACAAGAAGAGGACGUGCAAGAUCCUUGAGGAGAAACUGGCCUCCUCCUUGAAGCCGGUUACCAUCCACAACCUGCCCUGUGACCCUGCUCAGAAAACGCCACCUCUGGAGCAGGACGACAAGUGCGUGCAGGUGGAUUUGCAGGACCUGGGUUACGAAACCAGUGGCAAGAGUGAGAACGAUAGGGAAGAGAGCAGUAGCACAGAUCUGAAGGGUUGCUUGCAGCCCGGGGACAGCGCCUGCAGCCUGCCGUCCCUGCUGAAGGAGGUGCAAGGCUCCUUCUCCUCCGCUGAGUACCUGGACUCCACAUCCACCUCCUACCCCAGCUCCCCUGCUCUGAGCUCCAACAAGGUGAGUCUAAAGAGCCUGCAGGCCUUCGAGGACUACGGCGUGUCUGAGGAUCCUGUUGAGCUCAAGGCACAGGUCAUGGAGCUGAGGCUUCAGCUGGAGAACCAGACCCGGGUCGCUCAGCAGAUGCAGAGCCUACUGGGUCGCCACAUCUUCCCCAGCAACCUGGUGUCCACGCCGGUGGACGCCUCCAGGGAUCAACAUGCUUGGCCCGGCGUGGUGUAUGGACGCAGCCAGGAGAGGAGUCACUCUGCAGCGGAGCUGAAGGAAGGCCGGGACGGAGAGGUUCAGAGGAUGAGGGAGGAGAUCGGUGUGCUGAAGCAGGAGCUGGAGAGGGAGAGGAGUCUGAACAGGAACAUAAGUGAACAGCUGCAGCAGGUGCAGCAGCGCAGUCGCUCAGCCUCACCCGCAAGGCUGGACUCCCUGGUGCAGUCUCAGGCCAGGGAGCUGUCCGCGCUCAGGCAGCAGAUCAAGGAGCGCCGUGGCCUGGGGCUGUCCCACCGCAGGCAGCUGGAGGAGCUGAGCCGGGCCUUCCAGGAGCUGCUGCAGGCCAGCGACGUGGAUCUGUUCCGGGGAGACAUCCUCCGAGGGCAGCUGGACAAGAGUAUGGGCAUUCUGGAGAGACUGGAGGGGUGGCUGGACAGAGGAGACGGCCAACAGGACAAUAAGGAUGCUCUGGACCUGGCCCAACGGUUGUCCAGGGAGCUGCAGGAGAAGAACCAGCAGGUGCAGAGCCUCCAGAGCCAGCUGAGAGGUCCCAGCGGGGCCUCCUCCUGCUGCUCCAGCUCCUCGGAGCGGAGCCCGUCCUACGUGGUGUCGGGGUCGGGACGCGGUAGCCCCACCGCACAGAGUCCCACCGCCCGCAGCCCCUCAACCCACAGCGGAGCCCUGGCGCCUCACGGCCACAUAGACGGGGGCGGCGCCAAAGCCGGGGGAGGCGUGGACCGGAGCCCCGGGGACCAGAGCCCCGGGGACCGUCACCGUAGCAGCAGGACACAGGGAGCCCGGCUGUGGAGGGAGAACGGCCGGCUGCAGGAGCAGCUGAGGGGCAGCCAGGAGCUCAACGCCACGCUGCGCAGCGAGCUGGAGCUCCAGCGCUCCGUCCAGGCCCAGCCGGGCCCCCGCCACCCAGAGCCCCGGGACCCCCCGGACGGGCCCGGGUCACCACCUCAGGCCGACUCGGAUGGAAGAGAGGCUGAGGCACGGGCUGAGGCACGGGCAGCCGCGCGUCAGGACGGAGGGCCACAGGCUGGGGCCAUGACCACAGACCUGCUGGCUGAACACCUGCAGGAGAUCCGGGCCCUGCGGCGGCGGCUGGAGGAGAGCAUCCAGACCAACGAGCGCCUCCGAGAGCAGCUGGAGAGGAGGCUGGCUGAGGUGGAGCGGGACCCAGCGACCAACAUCUUCAUCCAAGGCAGCGAGGAGCAGGGCCAGAUGGCCAGCGAGGUGCGCUUCCUCUGGGAGCAGAACCGCAGCCUGAAGGAGCAGCUGGCCCAGGGCUCCAGAGACAAGCAGAAGGAGAACGAGGCGCUGCGGGAGGCCCUGGCCCGCCGCACGGCCCGGCUGGAGCAGAGCCGGGCGGAGCUGGAGGCCCUGAGGCAGGAGAGGGCCCGGCUGACGCCCAGCGCCCAGGAGAACCAGACGCUGAGCGACGCCCUGCAGCGCAGCAGGGACGAGCUCCACAGGCUGCAGAGCGACGUGAACCUCCAGAGGCAGCAGCUGUCGGACUCCCAGCAUCUGCUGCAAUCGCUGCGCGUGGAGCUGCAGGUCUGUGAGCGCAUCAAGACGGACGCCCCCAGUGCAACAGAGGGCGAGGGCUCCCCGCGGCCCCCCGGGCCCCUGGACCUGUCGGAGCUGCUGGCGGAGGUCCGCCGCCUGCGGCUGCAGCUGGAGACGAGCAUCCAGACCAACACGGCGCUGCGGCAGAGGCUGGAGGAGCAGCUGCUCAUGGGCCGCCACGCCGACACCAUCAACAUCAACUACCUGCUGCCCGCCUCAGAUGAGGGAGGGCGAUCCCCUGGACAGGAGAACCGGGACCCUGCUCACCGCGCCUCUCACAGCCCUGUUCUCCGAGAGACGAGGAGGCGGGAGGAGAACAGCUCCCAGCAGCUGAGCAGCUGCAGCAGCAGCUCCGAGAGCGGGGCCCCGGGCCCCCCGUCCCGCCUGGUGCCGGGCCACCGGCUGUGGGCCAGCCGCCACGGGCCCCACGUCCUGGGGCUGAUCCAGGACCACCACGCCCUACGCAAGCAGAUCUCUGAGGGCCGGCGCCUCACACAGCACAUGGACGCCCAGCUGCAGGAGGGGCGCCCCCACCUCCGGAGUCUUUCCAGCAGCGUGGGCACCAUGCAGCAGGUCCUAGAGGAGGCCAGCAGGUUGCUGCACCUGGUCUGGAGGGUCUCUCUGCCCACUGGGGGCCACACAGCCGGGGAGCACGGCUCCAACCAGCAGGAGGAGCUGCUGCGGAGCGAGGUGUCCCGGCUGAGGAGCAGGCUGAGCCAGCAGGAGCGCCUGCUGAGCGGGGCGGUGAAGCGUCUGCGCACCACCAACCAACUGAAGGAGGGCAUGGAGAAGGUCAUCAUCGACCAGUGUGGUCAGGAGUUGCCCUUUUACACACAUCCUGGUGAUACUGAGGAUCUGCUCGGCAAGGGUAGGAGGCAGGACGCAACAAGUAGGGUUACAACCCAUGAUAGAUGGCGCGUGAAGUUGUAUUUGCGGUCAUAUCAAUGCUUCAUUUAUUUAGACCUAUCCCUAAUAAACAGAGUUGCAGGCAAAAUACAGAGUAUUCAGUAUAAUUAAUAAUCAUAUCAAUUAUAAGAGAAAAACAAGGCAGCUCCCCUCUGUGCUGUCGGUUUUGAGCCAGUUGCAUGAUGGGAACGUGCGUUGGGAAUCGCCGGGUGACCUCUUGUGCUUAAGGCCUGUCACUAAUACCAUCCUGUUGCUUUCAGUGUCAGUAACACAUGGAGUAUUGAAGAAGGCCAGAGGGAAUCUGGAGGAGGUUCCCAUCAACGGCCAGUAGAGGGGCUUCCUCUCUGCCAGUUCCUCCUACUGGCUGCACCGCCUUGUUUUGGAUAUGGAUCCUGUCCUGCUGUUAAACUACCUGUAACUUGCUCCACUUUUCUGUGAUUGCACAUGUUUUUUUAAAGUUAAAUGUAAAGGCUUCUGUAAAUAUUUAUCAAAGCUAUUUUUUAUGAAUGAUUUUACAAUGGGAAGAUUUGUAUUCUUGACAGGCUGGUACAUAUAUAUUAGUAUUGUGUGCAUUUGAUGAUUGAAACUAAUUGUGUGAGUAAACAUGUUUCCCUAAA